AAGAGGAGGCCCCUGAAUGAUGCGCAGCAUCAUUCUAUUCGAUGGGGCCGACGAUCUGCCGCCGAAGCUUUAGCUGAGGGGGCAAUACCUAAG
rnacentral:sRNA from 1 species